AGUUUUUCUGAUGAGAAAGAGAAAGGAAGAAAAUCACAAAAAUUACAUUAAAGUACCAAAAUUUUCACCGCAGAACCUUACUUUUCCGCCUUAUAAAAGAAAUCGGUGUCACCAAACGUUUCACUUACAUCCUUUCCUCUCUUUUAGCCACCACCCUUUCACGUGUCCUUCUCUUACCUUGUUCGCUCCGUCUGUUUCCGAGGAAAAGGAAAAACCUCAAUUGGGUUCCUUUGUUUUUCUUAUUUCUUGUUCUCAUAACAAGUUUCUUUCUGGGAGUUACGUGAAGUUUUCACCUUGGUUGAAGGGGUGACGAAGAGAUUAGGGUGGUGCUAUUUGAAAAAUGGAAGGAAGGAAGCAAAUGGGUUCUUCUUCUUUUACUUCUGAGCUCUUUGGGUCCAAUCAGUCCCAUAAAUCUUCUGCAACUGGAAUUUUUGAAUCUAUGUUUUCUCCACCGUCUAAGGUGUUGGGGAGAGAGUCUCUGCGUUCUGAAGCAAGUGAGAAAACUGCAAGUGAGUGGUGGAGCUCAAAAAUUGAUCACAUCAGCAAGGAAAGUGGUGGUGAAACUCAGAACACAGCACAUAAGGAUAUGAGUUCUAUAUAUCAGGAACAAAAAGUUCAACCAUGUCAGCUUAGCUCAUCAAUCCAUUAUGGUGGCCAAGACAUAUAUUCUCGGCCUAAGAGUUCACAGGAUUCUGAAUUCAACUCUUCGAUGUACAAGAAAGAUGGGGUUGAAGAUGAUUCAGAAAGUGCUUCAAGAGGAAACUGGUGGCAAGGAAGUCUGUAUUACUAAGAUCGCCAUUGCCAAGAAAUAUGCUCCGCAAGUUUAUUUGAAAUUAAAGUAGCCUUGGAAAGUUUACGAAAGGAUUAUGAAGGGUUUGAAAUAACCUAGACUGAAUCAGAAACUAGAAGAAAAACAUGGAACUACCUCAUCCUACUCUCCAAUUGAGCGGGGAAAAAGAAAAAGGAAAAUACAAAGGAGACAAUUACUUCCAUAGGUAAAUAAGAGGAUAGUUUAGCAGUUUAGGCCAUCUUUGUUGCGUGCACAAGUUAUGAAUUGCGAGAACGUUGUGGAUGGCUUGGCUAGUUGCUUUCUCCAGCCAUAAUAGAAUCACUAUAUGAACCUGUAAAGACUAUAGUACUUAAAACUGUGGUAAUGUAAAAGUUGUAUUGUAUGGUAUAGGAACUUCAUGCAUCGUCAUCAGCUACUCUCUUAUGUGGCUGAAAGCUUUUAAGUUUUUACUUUAAUGGGAGAAACCCUCUUUUACUGGUUUCCCCUCUACUUUGUAUUUCAGAUGUUGUAAGUGAGAACUGAUCAUUUAUGUUUGUAUA